rnacentral:rRNA from 1 species
AUGAAUGCUAGCUACAGGCUUAACACAUGCAAGUCGAGGGGCAGCAUGGUCUUAGCUUGCUAAGGCCGAUGGCGACCGGCGCACGGGUGAGUAACGCGUAUCCAACCUGCCUUACACUCUUGGACAGCCUUCUGAAAGGGAGAUUAAUACAAGAUGUUAUCAUGAGUAAGCAUUUUCGCAUGAUUAAAGGUUUACCGGUGUAAGAUGGGGAUGCGUUCCAUUAGAUAGUAGGCGGGGUAACGGCCCACCUAGUCUUCGAUGGAUAGGGGUUCUGAGAGGAAGGUCCCCCACAUUGGAACUGAGACACGGUCCAAACUCCUACGGGAGGCAGCAGUGAGGAAUAUUGGUCAAUGGACGAGAGUCUGAACCAGCCAAGUAGCGUGAAGGAUGAAGGUUCUAUGGAUUGUAAACUUCUUUUAUACGGGAAUAAACGAAUCCACGUGUGGAUUUUUGCAUGUACCGUAUGAAUAAGGAUCGGCUAACUCCGUGCCAGCAGCCGCGGUAAUACGGAGGAUCCGAGCGUUAUCCGGAUUUAUUGGGUUUAAAGGGAGCGUAGAUGGGUUGUUAAGUCAGUUGUGAAAGUUUGCGGCUCAACCGUAAAAUUGCAAUUGAUACUGGCAGUCUUGAGUACAGUUGAGGUAGGCGGAAUUCGUGGUGUAGCGGUGAAAUGCUUAGAUAUCACGAAGAACUCCGAUUGCGAAGGCAGCUUACUAACCUGUAACUGACAUUGAUGCUCGAAAGUGUGGGUAUCAAACAGGAUUAGAUACCCUGGUAGUCCACACGGUAAACGAUGAAUACUCGCUGUAGGCGAUAUACAGUCUGCGGCCAAGCGAAAGCAUUAAGUAUUCCACCUGGGGAGUACGCCGGCAACGGUGAAACUCAAAGGAAUUGACGGGGGCCCGCACAAGCGGAGGAACAUGUGGUUUAAUUCGAUGAUACGCGAGGAACCUUACCCGGGCUUAAAUUGCAACCGAAUAUGGCGGAAACGCUAUAGCUAGCAAUAGCGGUUGUGAAGGUGCUGCAUGGUUGUCGUCAGCUCGUGCCGUGAGGUGUCGGCUUAAGUGCCAUAACGAGCGCAACCCUUGCCGAUAGUUACUAACAGGUUAUGCUGAGGACUCUGUCGGGACUGCCAUCGUAAGAUGUGAGGAAGGUGGGGAUGACGUCAAAUCAGCACGGCCCUUACGUCCGGGGCUACACACGUGUUACAAUGGGGGGUACAGAGGGCUGCUACCACGCAAGUGGAUGCCAAUCCCAAAAACCUCUCUCAGUUCGGAUUGAAGUCUGCAACCCGACUUCAUGAAGCUGGAUUCGCUAGUAAUCGCGCAUCAGCCACGGCGCGGUGAAUACGUUCCCGGGCCUUGUACACACCGCCCGUCACACCAUGAGAGUUGGGAAUACCCGAAGCCUGUGAGCUAACUUUUAGAGGCAGCAGUCGAAGGUAGAAUCAAUGAUUGGGGUG